GGAAGUAAAAGUCGUAACAAGGUUUCCGUAGGUGAACCUGCGGAAGGAUCAUUUAUGAACCUUUGAGGGUUGAGCUGGCGUUUAUUCGCAUGUGCUUGCCCUCUCAUCCUUUAUACACCUGUGCACUUUUGAAGGGAGACAUUAGUAGACAUUCACUUGUCGAAGGUAUCUCCCUUUACACUACAUACUCUAAUGAUUACUUUGAAUGUUUAAACGCUUAACAGCAUUUAAUUACAACUUUUAACAACGGAUCUCUUGGCUCUCGCAUCGAUGAAGAACGCAGCGAAAUGCGAUAAGUAAUGUGAAUUGCAGAAUUCAGUGAAUCAUCGAAUCUUUGAACGCACCUUGCGCUCCCUGGUAUUCCGGGGAGCACGCCUGUUCGAGCGUCAUGAAGCUCUCAAACUCAUUAGCUUUUUUGUUAAUGAGUUUGGAUUUGGACUCUGCUGUGUAACAAACAGCUGGUCCGAAAAUUAUUAGCGGAUCCUAGUGCAGCUUGGUUCUACUCGACGUGAUAAUUAUCUAUCGUUGAGGACAUCCUCUUUUAUUAGAAGAUGGCCAAACUAAUCAAAGGAUUGCUUCUAGUCGUCUUCAUUGACAAUUUAUCUAUCAUCUGACCUCGAAUCAGGCGGGACUACCCGCUGAACUUAAGCAUAUCAAUAAGCGGAGGA
rnacentral:sRNA from 1 species